CGAUACUCGUCUAUAUCACUGUGGCAUCACAGCUAUGCCUAGGUACAAUCAUAUAUUUACACACUCUUUCACACUUUCUCAUGUUCAUUAUGAUACUGGCUUGAGUGUCGAAGGACAGUAUCCGUCUCACCAGAGCUUCUCCUAGACCGUACUGAAGUAGAUAAAAUAGUCACAAGGAAGGGGGGUUUGAAUUGUGACACUUUAAAAAUUAAAC
rnacentral:lncRNA from 1 species